CGGUGAAUACGUUCCCGGGCCUUGUACACACCGCCCGUCAAGCCAUGGAAGCUGGGGGUGCCUGAAGCCGGUAACCGCAAGGAGCCGUCUAGGGUAAAAACCGGUAACUGGGGCUAAGUCGUAACAAGGUACCC
rnacentral:rRNA from 1 species